rnacentral:tRNA from 1 species
GGCCGACUAGCUCAGUUGGUUAGAGCGUCAUGCUAAUAACGCGAAGGUCUUAGCUUUGAUCCCCACGUUGGCCA